AUUGAACGCUGGCGGCAGGCCUAACACAUGCAAGUCGAGCGAGCGGCGGACGGGUGAGUAUUGUAUGGGGACUGCCCGAUAGAGGGGGGUAACAACUGGAAACGGUAGCUAUUACCGCAUACUAUCGGAUAACCCAUAUGGGAUUAGCUAGUAGGUGGGGUAAGGGCUCACCUAGGCGACGAUCCCUAGCUGGUCUGAGAGGAUGAUCAGCCACACUGGGACUGAGACACGGCCCAGACUCCUACGGAGGCAGCAGUGGGGAAUAUUGCACAAUGGGCGCAAGCCUGAUGCAGCCAUGCCGCGUGUAUGAAGAAGGCCUUAGGGUUGUAAAGUACUUUCAGUCGGGAGGCGUUACCGGCAGAAGAAGCACCGGCUAACUCCGUGCCAGCAGCCGCGGUAAUUC
rnacentral:rRNA from 1 species